rnacentral:rRNA from 1 species
UACGUAGGGCGCAAGCGUUAUCCGGAAUUAUUGGGCGUAAAGAGCUCGUAGGCGGUUUGUCGCGUCUGCCGUGAAAGUCCGGGGCUCAACUCCGGAUCUGCGGUGGGUACGGGCAGACUAGAGUGAUGUAGGGGGAGACUGGAAUUCCUGGUGUAGCGGUGAAAUGCGCAGAUAUCUGGAGGAACACCGGUGGCGAAGGCGGCAUCCUGGACCGGUAUUGACGCUGAGGCGCGAAAGCCAGGGGAGCAAAGCGGG